CUUCAUGUGAUGCUAAGAAAAUGGCUUUAGAGACAACUAACUUCAUGUGAUGCUAAGAAAAUUGCUUUAGAGACAACUAACUUCAUGUGGGGCAACCAUGUUUAUGUAAUGUUAAACGGUGCUUUUAGAGGCAAGUUGACUUUGAUUGCCUCAAUGAGUUACCUCUAUAACCAAAUUUAAUUGAAGUGGAGGAAGGGCGUAUUAAUCGACGAAAUGCUUUGGGGAGUUGAAAAUAAGCAGAGAUCAACGGGGUUGUGGGACAGCAAUACAAGUGACGUGCUGCUAGGAGAAUAUGUGGAGUGCGGGACCCUAUAUGGUGAAAGUCUAGUAGCCGAAACCAUCACUAGCUUACGCUCUGACCCGAGUAGCUGGGGCACGUGGAAUCCCGUGUGACUCAGCAAGGACCACCUUGCAAGGCUAAAUACUCCUGGGUGACCGAUAGUGAAGUAGUACCGUGAGGGAAGGGUGAAAAGAACCCCCGUCGGGGAGUGAAAUAAAACAUGAAAUCGUCAGCUCUCAAGCAGUGGGAGGGGGGUGCCUCUGACCGUGUGCCUGUUGAACAAUCAGCCGACGACUCAUAAGCAGUUGCUUGGUUAAGGGAACCCACCGGAGAUGUAGCGAAAUCGAGUCUUCAUAGGGCAAUUAUCACUACUUGUGGACCCGAACCUGGGUGAUAUAUCCAUGACCAGGAUGAAGCUUGGGUGAAACUAAGUGAAGGUCCGAACCGACUAAUGUUGAAGAAUCAGCGGAUAAGUUGUGGUUAGGGGUUAAAUGCCACUAGAAUUCAUAACUAGCUGGUUCUCCCCGAAAUGCAUUGAGGCACAACAGUUGACUAGACAUCUAAGAGUAAAGCAUUGUUUCAGUGUGGGCCACGAGACAGUACCAAAUCGAGGCAAACUCUGAAUACAAGAUAUGACCUCCAAAUAACAGGGGUCAAGGUCGGCCGUGAGACGAUGAAGGAUAAGCUUCAUCGUCGAGAGGGAAACAACCUGGAUAACCAGCUUAGGCUCCUAAAUGACCGUUGAUUGAUAAAGGAGGUAGGGGUGCAGAGACAUCUAGGAGGUUUGCCUAGAAGCAGCCACCCUUGAAAGAGUGCGUAAUAGCUCACAGAUCGAGCGCUCUUGCGCGGAAGAUGAACAGGGCUAAGCGGUCUGUCGAAGCUGUGGGAUGUAAAAAAGCAUCGGUGGCGCGAGCCGUGCCGGACGAAGUAGUAGCGAGAAUGUGGGCUUGAGUAACGCAAUCAUUGGUGAGAAUCCAAUGCCCCUAAAACCGAAGGGUUCCUCUACAAGGUUCGUCCACGGAGGGUGAGUCAGAGCCUAAGAUCAAGCCCGGGGGACUAUUAACCAAAAACACAGGUCUUCGCAAACUAGUAAAACCAUGUAUGGGGGCUUACGCUUGCCGAGUGCUGGAAGGUCAAGGAAGUUGGUGACCUGAUUACAAGGGAGCCGGCGACCGAAGCCCCGAUGAACGGCGGUCGUAACUAUAACGGUCCUAAGGUAGUGAAAUUCCUUGUCAGGUAAGUUCCGAUCGACACGAAAGGUGUAACGAUCUGGGCACUAUCUCGGAGAGAGGCUCGGUGAAAUAGACAUGUCUGUGAAGAUGCGGACUACCUGCACUUGGACAGAAAGACCCUUUGAAGCUUUACUGUUCCCUGUGAUUGGCUUUGGGCUUUUCCGGCGCAGCUUAGGUUGAAGUCGAAGAAAGCCCCCUUCCCGGGGGGGGGGGGGCGAGCCAUCACUGUGAUACCACUCUGGAAAAGAUAGAAUUCUAACCUUGUGUGUUGUGUCAGGACCUACGGGCCAAGUGACAAUCUCAGGUACACAGUUCUAUAGGGCGUAGGCCUCUUAAAAGGUAAAGGAGGCGUGCAAAGAUUUCCUCGGGGCGGACGGAGAUUAACCCUCGAGUGCAAAGACAGAAGGGAGCUUGACUGCAAGACCCACCCGCCGUGCAGGGACGAACUUCGGCCAUAGUGAUCCGACGAUGUCGAGAGGCAGGGUCGUCGCUCAACGGAUAAAAGUUACUCUAGGGAUAACAGGCUGAUCUUCCCCAAGAGUUCACAUCGACGGGAAGGUUUGACACCUCGAUGUUGGCUCUUCGCCACCUGGGGUUGGGAUGUUUGCCCAUUUAAGCGGUACUUGAGCAGGGUUCAAAAUGUCGUGAGACAGUUUGAUCCAUAUCCGGUGUGGGUGUUAAGAGCAUUGAGAGGACCUUUCCCUCGUACGAGAGGACCGGAAAGGACGCACCUCUGGUGUACCAGUUAUCGUGCCCACGGUAAAUGCUGGGUAGCAAAGUGCGGAGCGGAUAACUGCUUAAAGCAUCUAAGUAGUAAGCCCACCCCAAGAUGAGUGCUCUCCUAUUCCGAAUUCCCCAGAGCCGCCGAUAGCACAACUAAGGCAGCGACGGGUUCACUGCCCCUGCGUUGUGGGGGUAGAGCGCCAUAAGUUUUGAAAGAGCAAGUCACGACGAGAUGAGUCGUUUAUCAUUAUGAUAGGUGUCAAGUGGAAGUGUAGUGAUGUAUGCAGCUGAGGCAUCCUAACAGACCGAUAGACUUGANNNN
rfam:Beta vulgaris subsp. vulgaris chromosome 7, whole genome shotgun sequence.